GCGAGCAUAGCUUAAUGGUAGAGUUCCUGACUUCCAAUCAGGGUAUGUCAGUUCGAUUCUGACUGUUCGCUCCA
rnacentral:tRNA from 1 species